GGAAGUGAACCAUCUCAGUACCCGCAGGAAGAGAAAACAAGAGUGAUUCCGCUAGUAGCGGCGAGCGAACGCGGACCAGCCCAAACCAUCGUGCUUGCACGAUGGGGUUGUAGGGCCCGUCACACGGAGUGACAAACCGAUAUCGUAGUCGAACGAUCUGGAACGAUCGGCCAGAGACGGUGACAGCCCGGUAGACGACAUGAUAUUGGCUCCGACGGGUACCCUGAGUAUCGCGGGACACGUGAAAUCCCGCGAGAAUCUACGAGGACCAUCUCGUAAGGCUAAAUACUCCUCGGUGACCGAUAGUGAACCAGUACCGUGAGGGAAAGGUGAAAAGAACCCCUGUGAGGGGAGUGAAAGAGUACCUGAAACCGUAUACCUACAAGCAGUGGGAGGGCUAUGUCCUGAGCGCAAGCGAGGGAAAUGCCUGACCGCGUGCCUUUUGCAUAAUGAGCCGGCUAGUUA
rnacentral:rRNA from 1 species